UACGUAGGGGGCUAGCGUUGUCCGGAAUCAUUGGGCGUAAAGAGCGUGUAGGCGGUCCGGUAAGUCCGCUGUGAAAGUCGGGGGCUCAACCCUCGAAAUGCCGGUGGAUACUGUCGGGCUAGAGUGCGGAAGAGGCGAGUGGAAUUCCUGGUGUAGCGGUGAAAUGCGCAGAUAUCAGGAGGAACACCUAUUGCGAAGGCAGCUCGCUGGGACGUAACUGACGCUGAGACGCGAAAGCGUGGGGAGCAAACAGG
rnacentral:rRNA from 1 species